CACGUAAGUUGCAAGCGUUGUUCGGAAUUAUUGGGCGUAAAGGGCAUGUAGGCGGCAUGGCAAGCCUGAUGUGAAAUCUCCGGGCUUAACCCGGAGGGUGCAUUGGGAACUUUCAUGCUGGAGUUGCUGAGGGGAAGCCGGAAUUCCAGGUGUAGGGGUGAAAUCUGUAGAUAUCUGGAAGAACACCAAUGGCGAAGGCAGGUUUCUGGCAGACGACUGACGCUGAGGCGCGAAAGUGCGGGGAGCAAACAGGAUUAGAUACCCUGGUAGUCCGCACUAUAAACGAUGCACACUAGGUGUUGGACCGAGCGGUUCAGUGCCGGAGCGAACGUGAUAAGUGUGCCGCCUGGGGAGUAUGCCCGCAAGGGUGAAACUCAAAGGAAUUGACGGGGGCCCGCACAAGCGGUGGAGCAUGUGGUUUAAUUCGAUGGUACGCGAGGAACCUUACCUGGGCUUGACAUAGCAAGCGAUUCGCUGGAAACAGCGGAGCGUAGUAAUACGGUUUGUUACAGGUGCUGCACGGCUGUCGCCAGCUCGUGCCGUGAGGUGUUGGGUUAAGUCCCGCAACGAGCGCAACCCCUACUGCUAGUUACUAACAGGUGAAGCUGAGGACUCUGGCGGAACUGCCGGUGAUAAACCGGAGGAAGGCGGGGACGACGUCAAGUCAUCAUGGCCCUUAUGUCCAGGGCUACACACGUGCUACAAUGGUUGACACAGAGCGAGGCGAAGCAGUGAUGUGGAGCAAAACGCAAAAAAGCAACCGUAGUUCGGAUUGAAGUCUGAAACUCGACUUCAUGAAGUUGGAAUCGCCAGUAAUCGCGCAUCAGCACGGCGCGGUGAAUACGUUCCCGGGCCUU
rnacentral:rRNA from 1 species